rnacentral:rRNA from 1 species
UACGGAGGAUCCAAGCGUUAUCCGGAUUUAUUGGGUUUAAAGGGUGCGUAGGCGGUUUAUUAGGUCAGUGGUGAAAGCCCGGAGCUCAACUUCGGAACUGCCAUUGAUACUGAUAGACUUGAGUACAGAUGAAGUGGGCGGAAUGUGACAAGUAGCGGUGAAAUGCUUAGAUAUGUCACAGAACACCGAUUGCGAAGGCAGCUCACUAAAGUGUAACUGACGCUGAGGCACGAAAGCGUGGGGAUCAAACAGG